rnacentral:rRNA from 1 species
AAGCGUGCGCAGGCGGUUUUGUAAGACAGUGGUGAAAUCNCCGGGCUCAACCUGGGAAACUGCCAUUGUGACUGCAAGGCUGGAGUGCGGCAGAGGGGGAUGGAAUUUCCGCGUGUAGCAGUGAAAUGCGUAGAUAUGCGGAGGAACACCGAUGGCGAAGGCAAUCCCCUGGGCCUGCACUGACGCUCAUGCACGAAAGCGUGGGAGCAAACAGGAUUAGAUACCCUGGUAGUCCACGCCCUAAACGAUGUCAACUGGUUGUUGGGAAUUUAUUUUCUCAGUAACGAAGCUAACGCGUGAAGUUGNCCGCCUGGGGAGUACGGCCGCAAGGUUAAAACUCAAAGGAAUUGACGGGGACCCGCACAAGCGGUGGAUGAUGUUCUUUAAUUCGAUGCAACGCGAAAAACCUUACCCACCUUUGACAUGUAUGGAAUCCUUUAGAGAUGAAGGAGUGCUCGAAAGAGAGCCAUAACACAGGUGCUGCAUGGCUGUCGUCAGCUCGUGUCGAGAGAUGUUGGGUUAAGUCCCGCAACGAGCGCAACCCUUGCCAUUAGUUGCUACGAAAGGGCACUCUAAUGGGACUGCCGGUGACAAACCGGAGGAAGGUGGGGAUGACGUCAAGUCCUCAUGGCCCUUAUAGGUGGGGCUAGAAACGUCAUACAAUGGCCGGUACAAAGGGUAGCCAAGCCGCGAGGUGGAGCCAAUCCCAUAAAGCCGGUCGUAGUCCGGAUCGCAGUCUGCAACUCGGCUGCGUGAAGUCGGAAUCGCUAGUAAUCGUGGAUCAGCAUGCCACGGUGAAUACGUUCCCGGGUCUUGCACUCACCGCCCGUC